CCCAGACUCCUACGGGAGGCAGCAGUGGGGGAUAUUGCACAAUGGGGGGAACCCUGAUGCAGCGACGCCGCGUGGGUGAAGAAGCGCCUCGGCGCGUAAAGCCCUGUCAGCAGGGAAGAAGCAAGACGGUACCUGACUAAGAAGCCCCGGCUAACUACGUGCCAGCAGCCGCGGUAAUACGUAGGGGGCGAGCGUUAUCCGGAUUCACUGGGUGUAAAGGGAGCGUAGACGGCCAAGCAAGCCAGGGGUGAAAGCCCGGGGCCCAACCCCGGGACUGCCCUUGGAACUGCAUGGCUGGAGUGCGGGAGGGGCAGGCGGAAUUCCUGGUGUAGCGGUGAAAUGCGUAGAUAUCAGGAGGAACACCGGCGGCGAAGGCGGCCUGCUGGAUCGCGACUGACGUUGAGGCUCGAAAGCGUGGGGAGCAAACAGGAUUAGAUACCCGCGUAU
rnacentral:rRNA from 1 species